rnacentral:rRNA from 1 species
AUGCAAGUCGAGCGGUAGCACAGAGAGCUUGCUCUCGGGUGACGAGCGGCGGACGGGUGAGUAAUGUCUGGGAAACUGCCUGAUGGAGGGGGAUAACUACUGGAAACGGUAGCUAAUACCGCAUAAUGUCGCAAGACCAAAGUGGGGGACCUUCGGGCCUCAUGCCAUCAGAUGUGCCCAGAUGGGAUUAGCUAGUAGGUGGGGUAACGGCUCACCUAGGCGACGAUCCCUAGCUGGUCUGAGAGGAUGACCAGCCACACUGGAACUGAGACACGGUCCAGACUCCUACGGGAGGCAGCAGUGGGGAAUAUUGCACAAUGGGCGCAAGCCUGAUGCAGCCAUGCCGCGUGUGUGAAGAAGGCCUUCGGGUUGUAAAGCACUUUCAGCGGGGAGGAAGGCGUUAAGGUUAAUAACCUUGUCGAUUGACGUUACCCGCAGAAGAAGCACCGGCUAACUCCGUGCCAGCAGCCGCGGUAAUACGGAGGGUGCAAGCGUUAAUCGGAAUUACUGGGCGUAAAGCGCACGCAGGCGGUCUGUCAAGUCGGAUGUGAAAUCCCCGGGCUCAACCUGGGAACUGCAUUCGAAACUGGCAGGCUAGAGUCUUGUAGAGGGGGGUAGAAUUCCAGGUGUAGCGGUGAAAUGCGUAGAGAUCUGGAGGAAUACCGGUGGCGAAGGCGGCCCCCUGGACAAAGACUGACGCUCAGGUGCGAAAGCGUGGGGAGCAAACAGGAUUAGAUACCCUGGUAGUCCACGCCGUAAACGAUGUCGAUUUGGAGGUUGUGCCCUUGAGGCGUGGCUUCCGGAGCUAACGCGUUAAAUCGACCGCCUGGGGAGUACGGCCGCAAGGUUAAAACUCAAAUGAAUUGACGGGGGCCCGCACAAGCGGUGGAGCAUGUGGUUUAAUUCGAUGCAACGCGAAGAACCUUACCUGGUCUUGACAUCCACAGAACUUUCCAGAGAUGGAUUGGUGCCUUCGGGAACUGUGAGACAGGUGCUGCAUGGCUGUCGUCAGCUCGUGUUGUGAAAUGUUGGGUUAAGUCCCGCAACGAGCGCAACCCUUAUCCUUUGUUGCCAGCGGUUCGGCCGGGAACUCAAAGGAGACUGCCAGUGAUAAACUGGAGGAAGGUGGGGAUGACGUCAAGUCAUCAUGGCCCUUACGACCAGGGCUACACACGUGCUACAAUGGCAUAUACAAAGAGAAGCGACCUCGCGAGAGCAAGCGGACCUCAUAAAGUAUGUCGUAGUCCGGAUUGGAGUCUGCAACUCGACUCCAUGAAGUCGGAAUCGCUAGUAAUCGUAGAUCAGAAUGCUACGGUGAAUACGUUCCCGGGCCUUGUACACACCGCCCGUCACACCAUGGGAGUGGGUUGCAAAAGAAGUAGGUAGCUUAACCUUCGGGAGGGCCGCUUACCACUUUGUGAUU